UACGUAGGGUGCGAGCGUUGUCCGGAAUUAUUGGGCGUAAAGAGCUCGUAGGCGGCUUGUCGCGUCGGAUGUGAAAGCCCGGGGCUUAACUCCGGGUCUGCAUUCGAUACGGGCAGGCUAGAGUUCGGUAGGGGGAGAUCGGAAUUCCUGGUGUAGCGGUGAAAUGCGCAGAUAUCAGGAGGAACACCGGUGGCGAAGGCGGCUAUCUGGCCCGUAAUUGACGCUGAGGCGCGAAAGCGUGGGGAGCAAACAGG
rnacentral:rRNA from 1 species